rnacentral:rRNA from 1 species
ACGAACGCUGGCGGCGUGCCUAACACAUGCAAGUCGAACGGAGAAUUUUAUUUCGGUAGAAUUCUUAGUGGCGAACGGGUGAGUAACGCGUAGGCAACCUGCCCUUUAGACGGGGACAACAUUCCGAAAGGAGUGCUAAUACCGGAUGUGAUCAUCUUGCCGCAUGGCAGGAUGAAGAAAGAUGGCCUCUACAAGUAAGCUAUCGCUAAAGGAUGGGCCUGCGUCUGAUUAGCUAGUUGGUAGUGUAACGGACUACCAAGGCGAUGAUCAGUAGCCGGUCUGAGAGGAUGAACGGCCACAUUGGGACUGAGACACGGCCCAAACUCCUACGGGAGGCAGCAGUGGGGAAUCUUCCGCAAUGGACGAAAGUCUGACGGAGCAACGCCGCGUGAGUGAUGAAGGAUUUCGGUCUGUAAAGCUCUGUUGUUUAUGACGAACGUGCAGUGUGUGAACAAUGCAUUGCAAUGACGGUAGUAAACGAGGAAGCCACGGCUAACUACGUGCCAGCAGCCGCGGUAAUACGUAGGUGGCGAGCGUUGUCCGGAAUUAUUGGGCGUAAAGAGCAUGUAGGCGGCUUAAUAAGUCGAGCGUGAAAAUGCGGGGCUCAACCCCGUAUGGCGCUGGAAACUGUUAGGCUUGAGUGCAGGAGAGGAAAGGGGAAUUCCCAGUGUAGCGGUGAAAUGCGUAGAUAUUGGGAGGAACACCAGUGGCGAAGGCGCCUUUCUGGACUGUGUCUGACGCUGAGAUGCGAAAGCCAGGGUAGCGAACGGGAUUAGAUACCCCGGUAGUCCUGGCCGUAAACGAUGGGUACUAGGUGUAGGAGGUAUCGACCCCUUCUGUGCCGGAGUUAACGCAAUAAGUACCCCGCCUGGGGAGUACGGCCGCAAGGUUGAAACUCAAAGGAAUUGACGGGGGCCCGCACAAGCGGAGGAACAUGUGGUUUAAUUCGAUGAUACGCGAGGAACCUUACCCGGGCUCAAACGCACGACGGCGGCACGUGAAAGCGUGCUUACCUACGGGACGUUGUGCGAGGUGCUGCAUGGUUGUCGUCAGCUCGUGUCGUGAGAUGUUGGGUUAAGUCCCGCAACGAGCGCAACCCCUAUCCUAUGUUACCAGCAAGUAAAGUUGGGGACUCAUGGGAGACUGCCAGGGACAACCUGGAGGAAGGCGGGGAUGACGUCAAGUCAUCAUGCCCCUUAUGUCUUGGGCUACACACGUACUACAAUGGUCGGAAACAGAGGGAAGCGAAGCCGCGAGGCAGAGCAAACCCCAGAAACCCGAUCUCAGUUCGGAUCGCAGGCUGCAACCCGCCUGCGUGAAGUCGGAAUCGCUAGUAAUCGCAGGUCAGCAUACUGCGGUGAAUACGUUCCCGGGCCUUGUACACACCGCCCGUCACACCACGAAAGUUGGUAACACCCGAAGCCGGUGAGGUAACCUAUUAGGAGCCAGCCGUCUAAGGUGGGGCCGAUGAUUGGGGUG